rnacentral:rRNA from 1 species
CUUACCACCGGGAUGUUCAUAACCCUUUGUUGUCCGACUCUGUUGCCUCCGGGGCGACCCUGCCUUCGGGCGGGGGCUCCGGGUGGACACUUCAAACUCUUGCGUAACUUUGCAGUCUGAGUAAACUUAAUUAAUAAAUUAAAACUUUUAACAACGGAUCUCUUGGUUCUGGCAUCGAUGAAGAACGCAGCGAAAUGCGAUAAGUAAUGUGAAUUGCAGAAUUCAGUGAAUCAUCGAAUCUUUGAACGCACAUUGCGCCCCCUGGUAUUCCGGGGGGCAUGCCUGUUCGAGCGUCAUUUCACCACUCAAGCCUCGCUUGGUAUUGGGCAACGCGGUCCGCCGCGUGCCUCAAAUCGACCGGCUGGGUCUUCUGUCCCCUAAGCGUUGUGGAAACUAUUCGCUAAAGGGUGUUCGGGAGGCUACGCCGUAAAACAACCCCAUUUCUAAGGUUGACCUCGGAUCAGGUAGGGAUACCCGCUGAACUUAAGCAUAUCAAUAGCGGAGGAAA